ensembl:lncRNA
AGAAAACCUCAAAGUCCCUCCACUGCCCCGCUUAUCCCCGAAAAUCCGGCACACAGGGGGACUCGAGGGCAGCGGAUCACAGCUGGAAUCCCACGAUCAGCCGAUGCUCUGGGUUUUCAGAUGUCGCACUGGCUCGUUCCGGGUGAAAGGCAAUUUGGCCCAGUGUCUGCUCCCAGGACUGUUUGAAUUGUGUUCGCAGGAAUGAAAGGGCCGUAUUUCAGUGUUUGUAUCAUCGCAUGACAAGCGGAAGGUUAAGCGGAGAAGCUGAACACCUUCACAAUAAAGCUACUUUUGGUUCACCAGUGGCCACCGAGGGCGAUUUUGAGCGAUCUCUACAGCUCCAGCUGAUCCGCUGACGACGAUGAGGAGAAGAGCGGGCAGGUCGGCAAAAGCAAUCUCUUUGACGGACCCAAGGAAGAGAGGCCUAAAGAUUCAAACUUACAAAAGCACUUUGAAUUGCCUUGCUGCUAUCCAAAAAAGACUUGCCUGGCCUCGCUGUGGGGUAUUGUGAGCCGUGAGUGUACGUGUGAUCUUAGCAGCGGGCUCCAGGUUAUUCUCAGCCACCGGGCUGAGCACACAUGGCCCUGGUGGGAGAUGUAACGUCCCGCCUGUCCUCACGAUAACAGAGAGGAGCACUUGACUCUGCCAGCCGGGGUCCUACCCUCAGGACACAAUAACUCAAAAUAUGAAACUCAUUGAACUGGAUGAAGGUAGUUAAUCCCGGAACUAAUGUGGACUAAAAAAUAAGCAGCCAUGAAGUGAAAUGAAUGGGAAAGAUAAUUCCCAGGAAAAGGUCAUUGGCGCUUGGAUUUCAAGAAGAUCAGGGUAUGAAAUUGCACUGUUGCCCCCCCCGACCCGCCGCCCCCACCCACCUUCUUACUCAAAGCAUUUGUCUCCUU